rnacentral:rRNA from 1 species
UACAGAGGUCUCAAGCGUUGUUCGGAUUCAUUGGGCGUAAAGGGUGCGUAGGUGGCGUCGUAAGUCGGGGUGUGAAAUCUCGGGGCUUAACUCCGAAACUGCAUUCGAUACUGCGGUGCUUGAGGACUGGAGAGGAGACUGGAAUUUACGGUGUAGCAGUGAAAUGCGUAGAGAUCGUAAGGAAGACCAGUGGCGAAGGCGGGUCUCUGGACAGUUCCUGACACUGAGGCACGAAGGCCAGGGGGAGCAAAACGGG